rnacentral:rRNA from 1 species
UGCCAGCCGCCGCGGUAAUACGGAGGGUGCAAGCGUUAAUCGGAAUUACUGGGCGUAAAGAGUACGUAGGCGGAUUAGAAAGUUAGGGGUGAAAUCCCGAGGCUCAACCUCGGAACUGCCUCUAAAACUCCUAGUCUUGAGUUCGAGAGAGGUGAGUGGAAUUCCGAGUGUAGAGGUGAAAUUCGUAGAUAUUCGGAGGAACACCAGUGGCGAAGGCGGCUCACUGGCUCGAUACUGACGCUGAGGUACGAAAGCGUGGGGAGCAAACAGGAUUAGAUA